AAGCCCCAUGCUAGUUCCCAGGCUAGACCAGCUAACUCACCUUCCUCUCACCAAAAGGUAAGUCCUUAUAACAGACUGUGUACUCUGUCUAUCCCAGGAGAUGCUCACACAGCAGUUAAGAGUUCCAGUAAGCAUUCCUCUGCACCCAUGGAGCACUCUCAGUCAGUGGGUUCACUGCAUGCUCACAUCUGCUGCAGAAACAUGGGAGGAGGAGACACUGGGCCACACCCCAAAGGGGCUCUGCCCCUUGUAACCAAACUGGGUGCAGAUCAUUUGCAGCUUCUGGCUCCUGCCACCCACCAUAUUUGACUACAAACUUCAGAGUCCACAUCUCCAGCCAUUUCUCUCCUCUACCCACUCUACUCACUCCUCCCUCAGCUGAGUGUCUUCCCAGAGCUGCCUGCCCUGUCUAGAGCCUGCCACAAAAGUCAGACCAGUUUGCCAUGCAAGCCUCCCUAUACCACCUUGGUCACCAUCAACGUGGACAAGGGACACCCUUGGCGGUGCCCUUAGAUUGAGACACUGUCCUAUGGUGCUUAUCCCUUCCUUCCCUGUGUCUCAUCCCUGUGCUAUUGGAAUCCUCCCUUGGGUGAAGUGCUGUUUACAGACCCUUCCCCAAGUCUCUCCUAAGUCCUCCUCGCUCUGCUCCUGGAAAUUCUUUGCUGCUCCCCUUUAAGGAUGCCUUCCUUCCUGUUUGGACUGUCUGCUUUCUCUGGUUUGCCUGCUGGAGCCUGACCUGACCACGAGUCCUAAUUACACGUCGGCUCCUCUCUCCUGCCU
rnacentral:lncRNA from 1 species